rnacentral:rRNA from 1 species
AACGAACGCUGGCGGCAUGCCUAACACAUGCAAGUCGAACGAGACCUUCGGGUCUAGUGGCGCACGGGUGCGUAACGCGUGGGAACCUGCCCUUAGGUUCGGAAUAACUCCCCGAAAGGGGUGCUAAUACCGGAUAAUGUCUUCGGACCAAAGAUUUAUCGCCGUUGGAUGGGCCCGCGUUGGAUUAGCUAGUUGGUAGGGUAAAAGCCUACCAAGGCGACGAUCCAUAGCUGGUCUGAGAGGAUGAGCAGCCACACUGGGACUGAGACACGGCCCAGACUCCUACGGGAGGCAGCAGUGGGGAAUAUUGGACAAUGGGCGAAAGCCUGAUCCAGCAAUGCCGCGUGAGUGAUGAAGGCCUUAGGGUUGUAAAGCUCUUUUACCCGGGAUGAUAAUGACAGUACCGGGAGAAUAAGCUCCGGCUAACUCCGUG